rnacentral:rRNA from 1 species
GACGUAGGGCGCGAGCGUUGUCCGGAUUUAUUGGGCGUAAAGAGCUCGUAGGCGGCUUGUUGCGUCGACUGUGAAAACCCGCGGCUUAACUGCGGGCUUGCAGUUGAUACGGGCAGGCUAGAGUUCGGUAGGGGAGACUGGAAUUCCUGGUGUAGCGGUGAAAUGCGCAGAUAUCAGGAGGAACACCGGUGGCGAAGGCGGGUCUCUGGGCCGUAACUGACGCUGAGGAGCGAAAGCAUGGGGAGCGAACAGG